AUGUUGGCCGUUCUACCCGUUCAACGCUUAGACUACUCGGAAGCUUCGCUCGCCCUCCACGUUCGUCCCAACAAAAAAAAAACCUCUAUUCAUCUUCAUCUGUCAUUGCCUGCGACCUUACUCCUCCCCACAACUGCGCGGCAAUUUAAUACUGAUACAUCCCACCAUUCAAACCAAUAAAUCCAAGGAUUGACAGAGUGAAAACUGCUCCGUGGAACUCAUCCGUCGCCCUGUUGUUUCUAGCUUAAAAAGCAAGCCAUGGUGCCUGCUGCGCCCACACCAAUUACCGAAGCAUGCUUGCACCGCCACGCCGAGUGGCCUCCUAGCUGGUUGAUGCAUGCUCCGGAUUUUAUCUGCUCCUAUCUCAAGCCGUCGGGAUUUAUUGGGAUUUUCUAUAAAAAAAAUAGUCUGCUCCUACCUCAGACCUUCCGGAUUUCUUUCGAAACCCAUAGGAUUUCUUGGCUUGAUUGACUUCUUGGUCCGCCGUUCAUCAACGACACUGCACAUCGCCUUCUUCCAUUGGUAAGCAUACUCUAAUCUCCUCUCUUAAUUUAAAUUGGCUGAGAGCAUUCACCUUCCACUUUCCUAAUUGUGAUGUACAAAUUUAUUGGUUACCCUUCGUGGAAUGCAUGUGUUCAAACAUAUGGACUACAGACUACACCGAUAGUACCUGCUCCUUUUCAGUUUGGUGUGGUCUGUAGGCCACACAAAUCCGUUUGCCUGUGUCUGAUUUGCAAUGAUACUGCAUUUCUGUCUCAAAAUACCCAACCUGGUAGCCAUUCCGUCUCCUUUUCAGUUUACAUGUCUCCGGUUGCAAAGAUGAAUCAGGAAACUUGGACAGCAAUUGCUUUCUCUACGGUUACUGAUGACCUGCUGUCCAUGCUUCUCAAAAUAUGAAAAUAGAACCUUCACAGCAUGUGAUCACCCUCAAUAAUGCCAUUGGUAAAACUAAAUUAUUCCAUAUAGAAAUGAAAGAUGAUUCAUCAUCCAGGUUCCCUAUCAAUUAUAUCAUUAAAAAGAGCUUCUCAGUCGACAAUGCACAAAAGGUUAGACAAUUCCAUGUUAUCUGCAUAUUUUCAGGCAUCUAAAGGACAUGAAAGAAUUAGCAACCCAUCUCCAAUCAUAAGUACCUAGAGGUUUGCUAUCAAUCCUACAAUUUAAGUUACACACAGGUCUUGAGUAAUCUAAUGUUGCAUGUUUUAUCUUUUAGUUGUGGUGUUUUCCAUGUCUUAUCUCAGUUAAAGAGCCGUAGCUCUGCGAGACCGAUCUUCUCAUGGAAUUUUUGUUGUUCCUGGUAAUGUUAGAUAUGGGUUACAAGAAAAGAGAGAUUAACAUGUGUAUACACAAGAAACUAAUGUUGCAGUAUGAAUUUCUCUACCUUGAGAUCAGUUUUCUCUUUCAAUGUUGCAUCCGGAGUUUCUUUUCACAUAUAAAAUCUUCCCUAAAAUCUUAUGGCUCAUUGUGAAUCAGGAUACCUCAGGUGAUAACUUUAUUUGAACUAAUAUGCUAUGCAGGUAUCUAUAAGUUGCCUUCAUUAUUCCUUCCUUCUCAUGGUAUAACAGAAGGUGACUGCUUCUUUGAUUCGUCAGCUGUCCAGGCACUUUGCCAAAGAGAGAGACGGGCAUUCAGUUUUAUCCACCACCAUAGAUGUACUCAUUUAGUGUUCUAUUAUCAAGCCAUAACAUAGCUCAGAUCCACAAUUUAGUUUGGUACAAUAGGAAUUGAGUUUGGACUUUGGAAUUAUUAUUAUAUGUAGAUUGGUAUGCUUCAUCUUUGCAAUGAAAGGUUGGGUAUAUGCAGGUUCUUGAGGUGUGUUGGAAGUUGGAAGUAAGGCUUAUGUUGCAGGAUUUGAUGAUGAACGAAUUAGCUCGAGCCACUCUACAGCAAAAAGAAGCAUUGAAUUUCCAAAAAAUGAACCAACAAGCAAAGAAAGGUAACAGAAGAUCAACCAGCUGGGAACUUGAUCUUCAGAUCAUAAUACGACCUAAUCAAGAGCAAUAAUGUUGCAGCAAACAUCUAAGAAAGACAAGAGCAUAAACAAUAAAAUAACAUAGGGCACCAUCAACCACACAUGGAAUAACUCAGAACUGCAGUCAAUUCUACCUAAAUUAGUGAUAUGAUUACAAGAUUUACACGCUUCUGUUGUGAUCCAAAAGAACUUGAGAUGACCCAUUGGUGUCUGCAUGAAUAAAUACUGGGCAUCAACUCUUUAUGGAAGUUUUAGUUAAAUUCUAUACCAUGCCAAAUCCUUCAUGUACUGUUCAUUUGCCAAUAGUUAUCACUUCUCUAUCGAUAUUCGCAACACCAUGUUUGUCCCUGCAUAAAUGUUUGUGCAACGAGGUGUCAUGGCUCCUUUUUCCCCGCUAUUUGCAAUUUUCUAAUUCUGUAGCAUACAAGAAACACUAAGAACUCAGAUUGCUUCUACACCUGUUGAUGGACAUUUACCUCAUACUGCCCAUCAUACAGAAAUGGAACAUAUUU